UUAAGAUUGCCGUUAGUCAUUUAACAGAUUUUUUUCAGAUUUUAACAUACAAAAUUAUUUUUUUAUUAAUUAAUAUCUGCCCACAUCUAUGUCUUUAUAUUCUUAAAAUUUCUUGUAGCUCUAUCACCUGAUCAUCCUAUAUCGUAUACAAAAUCCCUAUUAAAUUCAUCGAUAUUAACAGUGAAGUCGAAAAUACUAAAGGCGGAAAUAGGACAUGUAUGUCAAAGUAUUAAACAACAAUGAAUGAACGUGAUACAAAUGGUAACAAGAUAAAAGUACUCAAAGAUGAAGAAAAAUGAUUCGGGGAAUAUAAUAUCUUCGAAUUUACGUUAAUCAUAGUAUCCAACUAUUUUUACUAUCACCCAUCGCGAUUUAUAGCCAAGCUGGAUACGAUCUCAAAGUCUGGCAGGGGUGCCCUCGCGGUGCUAUUGGCCUGGCGCCAAGCCAGAAACACUUGUUGCUACGGAAGAAAUGAGAAUAGAGCGAGCCACCUCCCAAUACUAGUCGUCUUUCGUCAAAGUAUUAACAGAGAACGGAACGCAUCAGCGGAAAACCCAGAUACGAUCUUCUGCAAGUUCUUUAUUUUUCUCGGCUUUCCAACUUCGUGGAAAUUCUACAAAGUAGAAUCGGGACAAUUUACGAGCUAGAGCUCUCAUUUGAACGGCACUCGAUCGUUCGAUUACGUGUCGAAGAGUCGCAUCUCGUUUGCCGGAUUGCGUAACGUCGAACAACUACACGCCCGUAUCGAGAAAGCGUCACGGUGCGACUGGCCUCUUCCUGGGUCAGCCGAUCCGCAAAGAGAGAAAGAGAGAAAGAGAGAGAAGAUACGCGUCCAGGGUGUCUGUGUGAGGACGUAGCGAGGGAGGAGGAGAAGGAGGAGGAGGCGGUCACCUCCGAGUUAUUCUAAGUGAAAGAGCGAGCGAGUGAGCAAGCAAACGAACGAACGAACGAACGAGCAAACGUGGAGGCAAGGAAGAAGAGGAUGAAAACGUGCGACCAGCCGAAUCUCUGGCUAUUCGCCAACUUCUCUUCGGGGAUUCGUGAGAAAAGAAUCUGAACGUCGAUCGUUCGAGCUGACCCACGUUCAACGUUAAGUCUUAAAAAAAUAUUCAAAUAACAUGGCAAAUAAGUGGGCAUUACCAAUUGAUUCGCAGUUGAUUAACAUACUUCCAAGAUAUAUUAAGAAUUUAUUAUCGACAGUAUAUCAUUUAUAAAAGUUCUCUAUGAUUCUAUUUAAAUUCAUGGGUGCCCAUAGUUGGUCUGAUUUAUCGAAUAAAAACAUUGACUGUGA